rnacentral:lncRNA from 1 species
AGAAGACAGAGGAAUGACGACCAAUCUGGGAAAAUUAACUACUGCACUUGUAUGAAGCAUUAUGGACAUCAAUCCUGUUUCCCCUCCCUACUUCAAACACAAAGUAUUCCAAGGCACUGGAGAAAGAAGCAGCAAAAAUACAGAAGAAGUCUGUGUUCCUGAAGAACAAUGUGGAACUGAGCUACCUUUUCUGCCAGAAACACACUCAUUGGAAAAUGCAUAAAUCUAUGUCACACGGAAGACAAAGAAGGUAAUUUAAGCACAGCCUCAGAUUUUUCUGAAAUCUCCCUCAAAUUCUAGAGUCAAGAAAACAAGUUUGUAACAGGACUGCUACAGAGACAAUUUUGUUGUUGUUGUUAUCUUCCUCUCUGUCAGUAAACUAGACUUUUUCUUUGCUUGCUUAAGCAUACGUCUUAUAGUAGGUGUUCAAAAUACAUUUGUUCAGUAGAAGAAUUCUGAUCUUGAGGAAAAUGGCUGACAGUUCCAUGUACUUUUUAAAUGAUCUGUGAAUUUCACCUUAAAAAUAAUGAUCAUGGCUACAUCCUCUCAACUAUGAUCAGAAGCUAGUAACAACUCAGUAAAGAAUUUUAUGGUAUAUGUCUAUCUUCCUGGCACCAAAAUUAUUUUUUCUUUUAUUUUAUGGCUUAGAAUUAAUGAUAAGAUUGAUGAACAAAGCCUAAACAAUAAGUGAAAAUAUUAAUUAUAAAAGAGUCUGAGCAUGUUAAUUUUCAUGAAAAUUUGCCUGGUAUGAAUAAAGAGUAACAGCUUGUAAGUGAAGAAUAUAUAUCAUAUAUGUGUCCUUUGUAUUUAAUAUAUGUAAAUGAAAUGUCUAAUAAAUUACUGAUAACCACAGUGCUUCAAAAUAUCAGGAAAUUGUUUCCUCUUUGAGAUGUGAUCAUUCCUCCGUCUCUCCGGAUGCUAUUAGCUUUUCACUGCUCAGUCCAUGUGGUUCCCCUGGAAAGUUUUCGUACUAUACAAG